rnacentral:rRNA from 1 species
AUUGAACGCUGGCGGCAGGCCUAACACAUGCAAGUCGAGCGGAGCAGCGGACGGGUGAGUAAUGCCUAGGAAUCUGCCUGGUAGUGGGGGAUAACGUCCGGAAACGGGCGCUAAUACCACAUACUAUCAGAUGAGCCUAGGUCGGAUUAGCUAGUUGGUGGGGUAAAGGCCUACCAAGGCGACGAUCCGUAACUGGGCUGGGAGGAUGAUCAGUCACACUGGAACGUGGAAACGGUCCAGACUCCUACGUGAGGCAGCAGUGGGGAAUAUUGGACAAUGGGGCAAUGCCUGAUCCAUCCAUGCCGCGUGUGUGAAGAAGGUCUUCGGAUUGUAAAGCACUUUAAGUUGGGAGGCGUUACCAACAGAAUAAGCACCGGCUAACUUCGUGCCAGCAGCCGCGGUAAUAC